ACUCCUACGGGAGGCAGCAGUAAUGCAAUAUUGCGCAAUGGACGACAGUCUGACGCAGCGACGCCGCGUGGGGGAUGAAGGUCUUCGGAUUGUAAACCCCUUUCGGGUGGAAAGAUGGCUCUCGACAACGAGAGCGGACGGUACCACCAGAAGCAGCCACGGCCAACUUCGUGCCAGCAGCCGCGGUAAUACGAAGGUGGCAAGCGUUGUUCGGAUUCACUGGGCGUACAGGGUGUGUAGGCGGUUCGGUAAGCCCUCUGGGAAAGCUCCUGGCUCAACCGGGAAAGUUCAGGGGGGACUGCCGGGCUAGAGGACGGGAGA
rnacentral:rRNA from 1 species